rnacentral:rRNA from 1 species
UACGGGGGGGGCAAGCGUUGUUCGGAAUUACUGGGCGUAAAGGGCUCGUAGGCGGCCAACUAAGUCAUACGUGAAAUCCCUCGGCUUAACCGGGGAACUGCGUCUGAUACUGGAUGGCUUGAGAUUGGGAGAGGGAUGCGGAAUUCCAGGUGUAGCGGUGAAAUGCGUAGAUAUCGAGAGGAACACCUGCGGCGAAGGCGGGUAGCUGGGCCGACACUGACGCUGAUGCGCGAAAGCCAGGGGAGCGAACGGG